rnacentral:rRNA from 1 species
GUACACGCUGUGACUAGCAUAUCAAUAAGCGGAGGAAAAGAAACUAACAAGGAUUCCCUUAGUAACGGCGAGUGAAGCGGGAAGAGCUCAAAUUUGAAAUCUUCAAGGUUUUACCUUGACGAAUUGUAGUUUAAAGAAGUGUUUUCUGCUGAAGUUUUGGUAAAAGUUCUUUGGAAUAGGACAUCAUAGAGGGUGAGAAUCCCGUAUUUGACCAUUAUUUUCAGCUUUGUGAUACACUUUCAAAGAGUCGGAUUGUUUGGGAAUGCAGUCCAAAAUGGGUGGUAAAUUUCAUCUAAAGCUAAAUAUUGGCGAGAGACCGAUAGCGAACAAGUACCGUGAGGGAAAGAUGAAAAGAACUUUGAAAAGAGAGUUAAACAGUACGUGAAAUUGUCAAAAGGGAAGCGUUUAACACCAGUGUUGUUUUCUGAAAAUCAACCUCUGUUAGCUUUAUGCAUGUUUGUUUAGACCUAAUCAGCUAUCUUGCAUGUUCUAUUGUUUGCAGUGGUGCACUUUUCAGUUUACAGGUCAACAUCAGUUUUUUUUACCGUAAAAAAGUUAAAGAAAGGUAGCUCAUGGCUCCGGUCGUGAGUGUUAUAGUCUUUUUCCUAUGCGGUAGGAGAGACUGAGGUCUGCAGUGUAGGCUAUUUGGCUAGAUACUCAGGUGCUAUGUGAUACCAUUUCAUAAACAACUUGUUGAUUAUGUUUUGUCUAUUGCAUACUCGCUUGUACUAUCAUACCUACGCUUAGGAUGUUGACGCAUGAGAUAUACGC